GGAUGGAUCUUAUGAGUCUGUGUGUGAAAGGUGUGAAAAGGAGAAAGCUGCCCGGCAACAAGGAGAAAAGGAAACGAAGAGUAACACCGCGAGGAAAAAGAAGCGGCUCUGAACACAGACACAACACUGCUCACAGACGACAUGAUGAAGAGUACAGAGUUACAGACACGGCCACGUCUGAUCGAUUCAUCGUCAAUAACCCAGUCAGAGAAAGAACCAAUCACAUCAGGUCUGACAGACCGGCGGCAAAGCCUCCAUCGCUGUCCCAGUGCAUCUAAAUCAGACAAAUUCAGCUAAUUUAAAAAGGCGAUAGUUUGCUUGUAUCUGAUUAACAGCUGCAGCGAUUCGUCAAUUAAUGGACAUUUUAUUGCUAUUUUUUUUUUUUUUUAACAAUUGAUGAUAAAUUGAUUAUUUGAUUUGCUGGUAGAAAAUAAAUCAUCUUGCUAUUCUGAUAAUAAAAUAAAUGUAAUGCAAAUGGAAACUGAAUCCUUGGGGUUUGGACGUUUGAUCAGACGAAACAAAAAUAUUUCCUAAGUUUUAAUGUUAGUGUAACGAUGGAAGUCAGUGACUCACUCGGGCGAACGGGGGCUUGUUAGAAAGCGCUGAUUCCCUAGAUUAAGGAGAAAAUGACGCUCUAAAGACAACGUGAUACUUGGAAGCGUAAACGCUCCCACAGACCGAAGAGGGAGAUCACCAAGGUCACUACAGUUCAUCCUGUGGGGAACAUGAAUGUAUGCCGGACCUAUGGAUCUAUCUGGAUCCGACACAUAAACUGUAAUGAAGCAACACUCAAAACGGCUGAGGAGAAAGAGAAAGAGAGCUAAUACUAAUGCUAAUGAUCAGAGAAGGUAUUUUAACUCGCUGACGAUCACUGGCUCAACAUAAAUGAGGCGCAGACUGGAAUCAGCUUCGAGGUAAUUGAUGACCGAGUGAGAUUCAUCGGGUUUGUUCCGCCUCUGCUCUGCCCUUCAAACCUCCUCUAAAUUCAAUAAUCAAAAAACACAGACUGACUUAAUCUGAAAUAAUCCAGAGCGGCUCCAUCAGAUUUCCAGAUUAGACAGAGAUUACAGAAAACUGCACUCAUCCCUGGAAAUGAUAAAGAGCACAGACCCUUUUACCGAGGCCUCAGCGGGUCAGACCACCUCCGAGGAAUCAUCUCUCAGAGGACUGGAAGAAGGUUACGAUUCACCCUGCGUUUUUCCUUCAGCUGUCACUUCAUCACUUCCUCAGUUCAUCCAACCAGCGACGAAUACGCGUCACUUCAGGUUAAGACCCGUCUCCGCAUCCGCUAAUCCCUUUUGUUUGCUCCCGUUUAUCCAUCCAGUCCUGUGACGUGUGCACCCUUCACAUCAUCCUCCUGCUUCCGUGAGUUCAAGUCUGUGCGGGGACACUGCUCCAUUCCACGUUUUCAGGUGGGAGAAACUCAGGUGGAGUAAAUUUUCCCGGGGCUGCUGUCCUCCGGGUCUUCCAGUUUCCUCAAGCCGCAGCCCAUGGCCUCCGAGGCGGGUACAGCCGCUCGCUCAGCUCGGUGGGAGGACCGGAGGAGCCGCUGUGCCUGCCGCCGACAGACAAGACACACAGACUCAGCCUCUCUUGUGCUUUCAACUUUAACGGGACCGCUCCAUCCCUCCUCUGUCCCCGCUGUUAAUCCCACCGAGAUAAUCAGUUCAAAGGUGGAACAACGGAAAAAAAAACCCGCCGGUUUAUGAAGAGAAAAGCCGCGCGGAGGAUUAUAACGACGAGCGGCUACUUGGUGGAAAAGUGUCCCGCCGGAGUGGCUGCAGGUCUGGAGCGUGGAGAGGAGGAGCGCUCUCCCUGGAGAAAAGUUUCCCCCACAAUCAAGGUGAAGAUCAGGAGCUCCCUGACCACUUGGGCCCAGUCACAAUACAGUAAUCUGGGUUUCUUUGGAUUUUGGAUUGUUUAUUAGACAAAACAAGAAAUACAAAUUUUUGCACUGAUCUCUAUAUUGUUGUAAUCCAUACUUACAUGACCUGAGAUCUCUGCAUUCUCACUAAUUAUGUGUUUUUUCCCUUGUUGUAGCCUAUGUUAUAAGUAUUGACUGCUGAAAUUUUAAUCAUUACUUGGCAUUAAAGUUGCAUUUCAGAAUAUUCACAUAAUAAAAAAAAAACAAG